UACGUAGGGGGCAAGCGUUGUCCGGAAUCAUUGGGCGUAAAGAGCGUGUAGGCGGCCCGGUAAGUCCGCUGUAAAAGUCAAAGGCUCAACCUUUGAAUGUCAGUGGAUACUGCCGGGCUAGAGUCCGGAAGAGGCGAGUGGAACUCCUGGUGUAGCGGUGGAAUGCGCAGAUAUCAGGAAGAACACCGGUGGCGAAGGCGGCGUUCUGGACUGCAACUGACACUGUAAAACGAAAGCCAGGGGAGCAAACGGG
rnacentral:rRNA from 1 species